rnacentral:rRNA from 1 species
CCCUUAGAUGUUCUGGGCCGCACGCGUGCUACACUGAACGGUUCAAUGGGUAAGGUAGUGCGAAAGCAUGACCUAAUCUCGAAAUCCGUUCGUGCUGGGGAUAGAAGCUUGCAAUUAUCCUUCUUGAACGAGGAAUACCUUGUAAGCGUGAGUCAUCAUCUCACGCUGAAUACGUCCCUGCCCUUUGUACACACCGCCCGUCGCUCCUACCGAUUGAGUAUUCCGGUGAGGCUUUGGGAGAAUGGCCUCAACAUGAGUUUAUCGUGUUUUGCCGUUUGAACUUAGUCAAACCUUAUCACUUAGAGGAAGGAGAAGUCGUAACA